rnacentral:rRNA from 1 species
UCCCCUAGUAACUGCGAGUGAAGCGGGAAAAGCUCAAAUUUAAAAUCUGGCGGUCUCUGGCCGUCCGAGUUGUAAUCUAGAGAAGUAAUGCCCGUGCUGGACCGUGUAUAAGUCUCCUGGGAUGGGGCGUCAUAGAGGGUGAGAAUCCCGUCUUUGACACGGACUACCAGUGCAUUGUGGUAUGCUCUCAAAGAGUCGAGUUGUUUGGGAAUGCAGCUCAAAAUGGGUGGUAAAUUCCAUCUAAAGCUAAAUAUUGGCGAGAGACCGAUAGCGAACAAGUACCGUGAGGGAAAGAUGAAAAGAACUUUGGAAAGAGAGUUAAACAGUACGUGAAAUUGCUGAAAGGGAAACGCUUGAAGUCAGUCGCGUUGGCCAGGGAUCAGCCUUGCUUCUGCAUGGUGUACUUUCUGGUUGACGGGUCAGCAUCAAUUUUGACCGCUGGAAAAGGUCCUGGGGAAUGUGGCAGCUCCGGCUGUGUUAUAGCCCCUGGUCGCAUACAGUGGUUGGGAUUGAGGAACUCAGCACGCCGCAAGGCCGGGUUUCGACCACGUUCGUGCUUAGGAUGCUGGCAUAAUGGCUUUAAGCGACCCGUCUUGAAACACGGACCAAGGAGUCUAACAUGCCUGCGAGUAUUUGGGUGGAAAACCCGAGUGCGCAAUGAAAGUGAAAGUUGAGAUCCCUGUCGCGGGGA